AGCAGCCGCGGUAAUUCCAGCUCCAAUAGCGUAUAUUAAAGUUGUUGCAGUUAAAAAGCUCGUAGUUGAAUUUCGAGACCGGUUUACUGGUCGUGCUUUUGUACGUACUGGUAUUAUUGGUUUCUCCUUUCUGACGAAUCAUAAUGCCAUUAAUUUGGUGUUUUGGGGAAUCAGGACUGUUACUUUGAAAAAAU
rnacentral:rRNA from 1 species